rnacentral:lncRNA from 1 species
GCAGACUCUCUGCAGACAGAUGCCACAUUCCACACAAACUCACAGAGAUUGUGAACGACCCUCUGCCCAAAAGUCAAGUUAAGAACAUAGAGGGAUCCCUAGUGGGCCAGUGGCUAAGACUCCGUGCUCCCAAUGCAGGGGGCCCAGGUUCGAUCCCUGGUCAGGGAACUAGAUCCCACAUGCCCCAAUUAAGACCUGGCACAGCCAAAACAAAGAACGAACACAGAAAGUCUGCAGCAGCCUUUUGACUCUGACAAGCCAUAUCCUCACCAUCUAGACAGGACUGAAGCCACGAAGGUAUCGUCAGAGCACCCGGGGACCUCACCACCCCAGCGCCCGCAGGGCCUGUGGUAAAUCUUUAACUCCCAGACCUGCUGGCCUCAGGUGGAUUUGUGGACUUGCUGAGCUGUCAGGAGAAGCUCAGAGAGAAGCUGAGCCCGUCCUUUCCACCCCUCAGCCACAGUCUCCUUCUCCUCAGUCAGGAGUCUGCCAGGUUGGCCCUGGGCUGUCUCCCUGGGGCAGUCCUGGUAGUGGAGAUCCUUGAGGUACCCGCUUCUGGUCCUGUAUGCAGACAGGACCCCCAGGGCCAGGCGUGGGGGCCACUGCUGCACCCCAGGCCCCGUCCUGCGUGGUAUGAGCAUGAACACACUGUGGGCACGCACACAUCAGAAAGACCGGGGAGGACUGCACAGGAGGGCGGGCACACGAGGCUGUGGUCAGACGGGGCAGGAAGGCCGGGAGAAAAUGAUAGCACCCACCAGAGCUCCAGGCAGCCACUCAGCUCCGCUCCGCUUUAUGUCGCCGUGUCCUUGUAAUGGCUCCCUGCUCCUCACUUAACACAGCCGCGCCUAAUCCCAGAGCCAGGACAAAUGGCGUUACUGUCAGCCCAGUCCCCUCCCUGGGAGGGGGUGGCCCGGGGGCACCCCGCGCCACCAACCACAUUCCCGGAAGCCUCCAGGCCUCCCCCAUACUGCAUCCCUUGCCAGAGGCCACCAAUCCCUACCAUCCUGAACCUCAGGAAGAGGAUGCCUCGUCUGACUCCAUCCCACGCCAGGGGACCCUACAGCAGGCAGGGACCCCACACCCUCACCCCCGCCCUGAGAGAGGUGGCUUCCACAGAAGAGGAGAAAGUAUGUCCCUGACCCUAUGCCGAUGGCCCUCACGUUCCUUUCAAGGGUGGCAGCCCGGAGUGGAUGAGCCCUUGCCGUCAGCAAGGGUAACUGGGCUCUGACUGCAGCUCUGCCUGACUUCCUAUGUGAUCAAAGCAGGGCCCGUCCCCCAAUCCAAAUCUCAGUUUCCCCACCUGUCCUGAGAUGAAGAGGAAGCAGGACUGAUAGCCCCUACAGGGCCAGCAGGUGGUCAAAGUGCCUCAUUUUGGCCCCCACCCCAGCUGCCAGGCCCUUGUCACUGCCCCCACCAACCCCAACAGAGGAGAAAGAAGGGUAACUGCCAGAGCGCGGAGGCUCUAGAGUGGAAAAGGGCCUUAACAAAGCCCAGAGAGGAGAGGCAAUUGGGCCAUGGUCACAUAGGCAGCUGGACAAGGGCCAGGCUAGCCUGGGUUUGCUCUUCAGCUGCAAACAUGUAAGAGCAUUCACCUGCGAACAUAUCUGCCUUUUUAGAGGAUGCCAAGGAGAGCACGAGAGGAUAGAAUUUCGGGCUCCAAGAGUAGCAGUUGGGUGGGGGGGCGUUAAUGACAUGUUUGAACGUAUAGGGUCCGGGGAUUGACACUGCUGACUGUCCAAGGCUACUCACAUCACACCACAAGGGUGGCCCAAGCUCCUGCCAGCCCGCAGUGAUCCCAGGAACUCCUGCAGGGAUAAGCAGCCUUGGCCACCUCAUAACAAGUCACCUGUGGCUCAGCGGUAGUGAUGGGGAGACUGGCCUAGAGGCACAAAAGCCUGGGGGAUGCUGAGAAGCCUCCGGGCCCCAUGGCCAGAGUGGAGGGAAGCCAGGAGCUCUGGGGUCAACAAAGAGGAAAGGAAAGCCUGAGGCACUUGGAGACCCAGAAGCCCCCUAGUCUCCUGGAGGCCUGGUGGGUACCAGCCAGGCCUGCUGAUACCAAGGAGGCUUUAUCAGGGCCCGCAUGAAAGCGCCCUCGUCCCUCCAGACUCGCUGGGGCUUGUCACCGCGACAGGAGUCUGCUGCCAACAUGCCUCCCCUCCCGGGUGAGGGCUCGAUGCUCACACGAGGCGCAGCUGGCAGGGGAAGGGGCAGCAGGUGGGGGAGGGGGAGGGCCUUGCUCUCUCUGGAUCACAGACAGCUAGAGAGCAGAGACAGAGUAAACAGCACCGGGCAGGUGACUACUUAUCCAAGGCCCCUUUUAAAGAGGCCAAGGGGCCUGGGUGACGCUCUACAAAGUACCCUGCAGGUGUCUGCACACCCCCAAGGCUUGGGGGCUGAUUCCUGGGGUCGGGAGACUGGUGUUCUAGUCCUCUGCUGAGCCAGGACGAGGCAUCCAGGCAGCAGGCGCCCGCUCUCUGGUGCUGGCGGGCACCUGCCCGGCACCAGGAGUCUCACUGCGGCACCUGAGUGCUCCUCUCAGUCUGCCUCUAAGUGCCUCCCUCACCUCACCCUAGGCCCAGCCUCCCACUAACCUGCCAGUAAGCUCAGCCAAGCACUCUCUCCUUGCUGUGUUCACCAGUAAAAUGGAAUGGUGCCAGAUGACUCCAUGGGCCAACCUAACCCCAAGCUGGGCAAUUCUGCAGGGAGCAUAACCGACCUCCCCUCUCAGCCCCAGAAACGGGCACAGUGGCGCCCACUCCCGCCAUCCAGAAGCCCAUCAGGCACCAUGCUCCAGGCAGAAAGCAUGGUAUAACACCUCUAUGUAACCGUGUGCUCUGUCCUUUCCCAUAUGCUUGGCCUCUGCUUCAUCAAGCCCUCGUUUCACAAAUGUGGAAAAUGAGGCUCACGGGAGUACAGCAACUGGCUCAAGCUUCCAGUCGGGAAGUGCUAAGCUGAGAUUCGAACCAGGGCCUGGCUGUAAUCCUGCAUUCCACGGGAUCCGCCAGAUGACCCAGAACUCACUACGGCUCAGAAGAUGCUACUGGGUCUUUGCACCUCCCACGUCUUUGAGGGUGCAAUGCUGAGGCUAAUGCAAAAGGCGGGCUGCCGGAGGUGGCGGGAGCAGAGGCAGGCACGGGAAGCCUGUGUGGGUGCUGAGCAUCUGCAGACUGACCAGCCUCCAGCCUGGCCAGCUGUCCACUACUGUGGCCACAAAGUCCUCGUCACCACCAGCACACCACCGCCACCACUGUGCCAUUUUUAAAUCAUCACACAAAUGCAAAGCUUUUUCACAGAUGCUACUUUGGCAUCACAUGACAAGCUUCUAAGAUCAUGGCAGGGAUUUCUUCCCUCUUUCUGCUAUGAGGAAAGUGGGGUUCCUGGAGGAAGAGUGACUUCCCAAGAAGUACACAGUGAGGCAAUGUUUGGCAGUGAACUUGAAGCCCACACCCUCUGCCUCAGGUCUGGAGCUCUGUCUACUCCUCCAUGCCCUUUUCAGUUCAACCAGCACUGAUGGGCCUAUGUAACAAAGGUUUUUUUUUUUUUUUUUUUAACCAUGCUGCAUGGCUUGUGAGAUCUCAGUUUCCUGAUGAGGGACUGAACUUGGGCCAUGGCACUGAAACCACUAACUCCUAACCACUAGACCACCAAGGAGCUCCCACUAACGAACGUUUCUGAGAGCUCAUUCUGUGCAGGUAUUCAGUUCAGUUCAGUCACUCAGUCGUGUCCGACUCUUUGCAACCCCAUGGAUUGCAGUACGCCAGGCCUCCCUGUCCAUCUCCAAUUCCCGGAACUUACUCAAACUCGUGUCCAUUGAGUCGGUGUUACACCCACACUUCACGUUAUUAUCUCAUUUAACCAUCAACACAGCUUCACAAACUACUGCCACUGUUCUCAUUUCAGACACUGCAGUUCAGAAACAUGGCGUAUCUUCCCCGGUUCACCAUUUUAGAAUGGGGCAGAGAGGAGAUUCAACCGGAAGUCAGUCUGGCUCUGAGGCCUGCCCUUGGAAUCUCUGUGCUCGCUCUGGGACCAGAGGGGAAAGGAGAGCAGACACACUCAAACAGCACGUGUGCCUGCAGGUUAUGGCGAGAUUAGGAUAACAGGAAGACAAACAAAGCUCUUGGAGAGCCCAGAAGAUGCAGGCUGUUACAAACGUCCAGGCAGGAGGCCAGGAGUCUGAGCAGGGGACAUG